AGAUUGCGGAUCCGCGGCCGCAGAGUUUGAUCCUGGCUCAGAACGAACGCUGGCGGCAGGCCUAACACAUGCAAGUCGAGCGAACCCUUCGGGGUUAGCGGCGGACGGGUGAGUAACGCGUGGGAAUAUGCCCUUUGCUACGGAAUAGCCCCGGGAAACUGGGAGUAAUACCGUAUACGCCCUUUGGGGGAAAGAUUUAUCGGCAAAGGAUUAGCCCGCGUUGGAUUAGGUAGUUGGUGGGGUAAUGGCCUACCAAGCCGACGAUCCAUAGCUGGUUUGAGAGGAUGAUCAGCCACACUGGGACUGAGACACGGCCCAGACUCCUACGGGAGGCAGCAGUGGGGAAUCUUAGACGAUGGGGGCAACCCUGAUCUAGCCAUGCCGCGUGAGUGAUGAAGGCCCUAGGGUUGCAAAGCUCUUUCAGCUGGGAAGAUAAUGACGGUACCAGCAGAAGAAGCCCCGGCUAACUCCGUGCCAGCAGCCGCGGUAAUACGGAGGGGACUAGCGUUGUUCGGAAUUACUGGGCGUAAAGCGCACGUAGGCGGACCGGAAAGUUGGGGGUGAAAUCCCGGGGCUCAACCUCGGAACUGCCUUCAAAACUAUCGGUCUGGAGUUCGAGAGAGGUGAGUGGAAUUCCGAGCGUAGAGGUGAAAUUCGUAGAUAUUCGGAGGAACACCAGUGGCGAAGGCGGCUCACUGGCUCGAUACUGACGCUGAGUGCGAAAGCGUGGGGAGCAAACAGGAUUAGAUACCCAGGUAGUCCACGCCGUAAACGAUGAAUGCCAGUCGUCGGGCAGCAUGCUGUUCGGUGACACACCUAACGGAUUAAGC
rnacentral:rRNA from 1 species